rnacentral:lncRNA from 1 species
CACAGGCUUGGGAGUGUGUCCCCAUAAGCUUUGGUAGCAGCAAGCAGGGCAGACCCUGGCUCUCCCAACAAUGCAACGGGCAUCUCCACUGAUGCCCAGAGAGCUAGACCAAAGCAGAAGCCCUGCAAACUUCGGUAAAGUCAAAAUCCUGUAAACACUUGGAUGCGUUCAUGAUAUAACACAUCCAAGAACGGUGCUGUUCAGUUUAGUGCGACUGCUCCUCGUGGAGGAACGGCGUCAGGCUGCCAGAAUAGCUGCGCUCUGCUAGGGCAGGCCUGUCGCACCCAGGCUUUCCAGCAGCAGCUAGUUAUAGAUGCAAAGGGAAUAAUAAAAGAAUAGGGCAGACAUACCCCCCUGAUACAUUUUCCCAGUUUCCAGUAACAUCCUAGCAUAGUACCUUGCUUUUUGGCUCCUGAUGUAGGGAAGGUCCUUUUACCUCCAGAGGAAUUAAGUGGAUGUUCCUGUCCUCGCCCCAGCAGGUACCAAGGCCCUCUCCAAGCAGGGACUCAAGCUUUGCUGUGGUCAUUUUAUGCCUCGUCCUCUACCUCACCCAAAUGUGCAGAUCAGCCUAGCUGAGAGGUUUCUCUGAAACAAAGGGUUUGUGUAUGGAUGGUGCAGUAAAUACAUGGAUACUGGCUUCUCCUGUCUGCAGUAACCCACUGGUUCUGGUAUAAGAAAAUUGAUGAAUACAAAGCUGCCAUGAAGACACACAUUGUAAAGAGAACAGAUGCUGUGAAAAAAAUAUAUAAAUAAAAUAAAGUAAAAUAAUACAAAAUGUUUAUCUACCCAGGGCUCAGAGAGCAAUUUCCUUUCAUAUUCCACAGCCUGGAACACGCACAGACCGAGAGAAGUUCAUAAAAGGCCUGCUUGGCCCUUAUCACCCUUGUUUCUUCUCCUUUCUCUUCCUCAGUCCUGCUCACUCCCCCUCAGCCCCUGCUCUCAUUUCCUCCAUCACAGACACAGCAGAAACAACACCGAUAGGAAGCAUGUUUUCCUCCGCUGGGCUGCUCACGCUGCUCCAAAAUGAAUUCUCUAGCCAUCAUCUCUCCUCAAACCUCAGCUGUGGGAAAAAUCCCAUGGGGAAAAAGGAAACCCAGGACUGACCAGGUCCUGGCUCUGCCCUGUCCGCUGUGAACUGAUUUCUGCUGAAGACACAUUAGGAAUGUUAACAGUAAGUAUUCACAGAGGAGAGCACUUCUCCCUUUUAGUCAAGAUGUUCAGAUGGGGCCCCAUAGCAGCAGGGAGCCUGGACUUCUAAGCAAGAAAUU